CCUUCACCCCACCAGCUGCGGACAGCUGUACUGACCACGACGACGAUUGUCCCGUCCUGGUUAGAUCCUACUACUGCAGUAAGGACUUACUGCUGCCUCGCCUUUGUCCACUGUCCUGUGGUUACUGCAACGCCAGCUCCAACCACACCAAGACACCAGCGAGCACUGAAUGUGUUGACCACGACCCUGAGUGUCCAGCUCUGGCGUUCUACUGCUCACCAACAGAACAGCUGGUCAACCGGCUGUGUAAGAAAACAUGCCACACGUGCACGGCUGGCUCUACGACCAUUCUUCAAAAGAAAAUAUCAACCGACGCCCUACCAAACGAUUGUUUCGACCUUGACCCCAAAUGUAACAUUACCACACAAGGCAAUGCGUGUGAGCACAAUGACCUAGUUGCACGUGUGUGUCCUGUCUCCUGCAACAUUUGCAACGAAACAAGAUCAAACACCACAUCAGCAGGUCAGUGUGUGGACUACGACCCCGAGUGCUCAUCCCUGCAUUACGCCUGCGGUGCCCUAGACUUGGUGGAUACCCUUUGCCCUUUGACCUGUGGGAUCUGUAACA